rnacentral:tRNA from 1 species
AGGUCUGUAGCUCAGUUGGUUAGAGCGCACCCCUGAUAAGGGUGAGGUCGGCAGUUCAAAUCUGCCAGACCUACCA